rnacentral:rRNA from 1 species
GACGAACGCUGGCGGCGUGCCUAAUACAUGCAAGUCGAACGCUGAAGAGAGGAGCUUGCUCUUCUUGGAUGAGUUGCGAACGGGUGAGUAACGCGUAGGUAACCUGCCUUGUAGCGGGGGAUAACUAUUGGAAACGAUAGCUAAUACCGCAUAACAAUGGAUGACACAUGUCAUUUAUUUGAAAGGGGCAAUUGUUCCACUACAAGAUGGACCUGCGUUGUAUUAGCUAGUAGGUGAGGUAAUGGCUCACCUAGGCGACGAUACAUAGCCGACCUGAGAGGGUGAUCGGCCACACUGGGACUGAGACACGGCCCAGACUCCUACGGGAGGCAGCAGUAGGGAAUCUUCGGCAAUGGGGGCAACCCUGACCGAGCAACGCCGCGUGAGUGAAGAAGGUUGUCGGAUCGUAAAGCUCUGUUGUAAGUCAAGAACGGGUGUGAGAGUGGAAAGUUCACACUGUGACGGUAGCUUACCAGAAAGGGACGGCUAACUACGUG